rnacentral:lncRNA from 1 species
CUUCUCAGACUCGCCUAGCGGUCUUUUUCAUCUCGUAAAGCGGUAUUUCUCUCUUUUAUCAUCUCUUCAAGGACAUAGAGCUUCGGUUCCCCCUCUUCCUAAUGGACUACGAGGACCCUAGGGCUGAGGACUCUUAGAAAGAAGGAUUACCGUACUGGCUUACCCUUAUUAAGAACAGACUGGCUGACUUCCUGGCUUUUUUAUUCAAAGAAGGCAAAGAAGGAGAGGAAAGCACAGACGGG